rnacentral:rRNA from 1 species
CCUACGGGUGGCAGCAGUGGGGGAUAUUGGACAAUGGGGGGAACCCUGAUCCAGCGACGCCGCGUGAGUGAAGAAGUACUUCGGUAUGUAACGCCCUGUCAGCCGGGAAGAAAGAACUGACGGUACUUGACCAAGAAGCCCCGGCUAACUACGUGCCAGCAGCCGCGGGAAUACGUGGGGGGCACGUGUUAUCCGGAAUUACUGGGUGAAAAGGGAGUGUCGACGGUUAAGUAAGUGUGGAGUGAAAGGCCGGGGCCCAACCCCGGGACUGCUCUGGAAACUCUUGAACUUGAGUGCAGGAGAGGUAAGCGGAAUUCGUGGUGUAGCGGUGAAAUGCGUAGAUAUUAGGAGGAACACCAGUGGCGAAGGCGGCUUACUGGACUGUAACUGACGUUGAGGCUCGAAAGCGUGGGGAGCAAACAGGAUUAGAUACCCCUGUAGUC